ACAGCAGACAGAAGUUGGAAGAGUUAUUUUCCUUAUUCGAAGUCGAUAAGACACACAACUGCAUAAAUACGCAUUUGUGGCAUCAUUUGACGGUCGCCUGGAAGCUCUUUUCGAUUCUGUGUUAGCGCCGCGGAGCAAGUGCCUGUAGUGACGGUAGCCUGUGAGCUCUGCUUUUACGCCUCAGGACUGCCUUCUUGGCGGUGCCAUUCCUCCGCAUCGUUCAUCGCCUUUCGUUCUCCAAGUGAGCCCUCGUUUCACAAGGGCUUGGAUGCCAGCAGCGUAGAAAUCCUUACCGGCGCGUAGCAGCCAUGAUCGGACCGCAUUCUUGACCUCGUCGUCGCAGCUGAAGUGGCGGCCCCCAAGGCCCGAAGAGAUGGAAACCGCUGGGGGCGAGGUCUGGACUGUAAGGGGGAUGUGGCAGCAACUCCCAGCCAAGUUCCUGUAAGCCUGGCCACCAAGGGCGCUACAGGGCUCCCCCCCAGACCGUACUUAAAAGGAACGGUCGACGUAUCUAAAGCCCAAGUGACACGUUUGGUUGGUGUGCCCUGAUGUGGAGAGGAGCUGUCGAGUGUAAGAGAAGUGGACGACGGGAGGCAGGAUGCUAUGUAGGCGGGCUUGACUCGAUCGAGGGAGACGGUGUCAGUCUUGCCGUUGAUCUCGAUACGCACAGUCUUGGGUGUCCUGGAUAGGACGGGAUAGGGACCGGAGUAAGACGGCGUCAGCGAGGGCUUCGCACGGUCGUUUCUGACGAAAACAUGCGUCGCCGUGCUUAGGUCCUGGCUAACGAAGACUGUGCGGCGUGUGGGCAUGCGAGGUGGGACGGGAGUGACGUGUCGGGAUAACUCCUUUAGGUCCCGAACGUAGUCACUGGGGGACGGGUGCGGUUGAUCGGCGCUUGGGGUGAGGAAGUCUCCAGGAAGGCGUAGAGGGGAACCAUAGACGAGCUCGGCUGGUGCGCACUGGAGAUCCUGCUUGACAGCGACGCGCAUGCCGAGCAACGCAAAAGGAAGAUGUUGGGCCCAGCGUAAUCGGGAGGGUUGCGCAGUGAGGGCUACUUUCAACUGGCGGUGCAGGCGCUCAACCAAACCAUUCGCCGCUGGGUGGUAGGCGGUUGUCUGGAUAUGGUGCGCUCCGAGGAGGUUGGUGAGGGCUGAGAAGAGGGCACAACGGAACUGUGGACCCCGGUCCGUUGUGACAGUGGAUGGACAGCCGAACCGUGCUACCCAUGUGGUCACGAAGACUUCGGCGACGGUUUGGGCUGAGAUAUCUGCUAAGGGAACAGCCUUGGGCCACCUUGUAUACCGAUUCACACAAGUCAGAAUGUACUUGCAGCCAUGAGAUGUGGGUAGUGGGCCGCCUAUAUCGACAUGGACGUGGUCGAAUCGGGCUCGCGGCGGAAGGAAGGUGUGCAGCUGGGUUUUCGUGUGCCGCCCAACUUUCGAGCGCUGGCAGGAGACGCACGUUCUCACCCAUCGCUGUACGUCUUCAUGGAUGCCUGGCCAAACGUAUCGUGCUGUGAGAAGCUUCUGAGAAGCGCGGACACCAGGGUGGGCCAGAUUAUGGGCAGCGUGGAAGAUCUUCCUGCGGAGUGCGACAGGAAUAAAUGGACGGUUUGUGCCUGUGGUUGUGUCACAAAGUAAAUGGUGUAAAUGGUGUUCGUGCUGUUCGGGGGAUGAGCUGAAGACAAGGAGGUCGUCAAUGUAGGCUACCACAAAGUCCAGUCCGCGGGUUACUUCGUUGAUGAAACGCUGGAAAGUUUGAGCAGAGUUCCGCAGGCCAAAUGGCAUUCGGACGUACUCAAACAAUCCAAAGGGAGUUGUGAUGGCAGUCUUCGGGAUAUGCUCAGCCUCCAUCGGGAUCUGAUGGUAGGCUUUAACUAAGUCCACCUUGGAAAACGUAGUAGCUCCCGCUAAUAGCUCAGAAAAAUCAUGAAUGUGUGGUAGAGGAUAUCGAUCGGGGAUUGUGCUCGCAUUCAGGGCUCUGUAGUCACCACAUGGCCUCCAGUCAUUGGCCUCCUUCUUGGGAACCAUAUGUAGUGGCGAAGCCCAAUUACUGGCGGACGGUCGUAUAAUUCCCAGGGCCAGCAUGUGCUCAAAUUCCCGACGAGCUAUGGCCAGGCGUUCGCCGGAAAGACGUCGGAAGCGUGACGUGACCGGUGGACCUGUUGUCUCGACGCGGUGCGUGACAUUAUGUUUCACUGGUGCGGAAAGGUUGCAUGGCUUCACGAGUUCCGGGAAUGACGCAAGAUCUUCUCGUAGAGUGAAGUUGGCAUAAAUGUGCAAAUACUAGCAGACUGUGCUCUAGAGACGGAAGCGACGGUAACGAGGUUCGUGAUAUUGUCCCGCAGGCGGCGCUGCCUUAUGCUGACGUCGAGAUUGUGGAAAUGUAGGAAAUCUGCCCCAAGGAUCGGGUGCUCCACGUCGGCAACCACGAAGAGCCACCUGAACGUCCUGCGUAAGCCGAUAUCGAGAGUGAGGGAACGUAGACCGUAUGUGCUUAUGGUGGACCUGUUCGCAGCUUGCAGUGCUGGCGUGAGACCCGGACGAACUUUCUUGUCGGAAGGUUUUGCGGGUAUAACGCUGACUUGUGCACCAGUGUCCACAAGGAAACGGUGGUUCCCGAUUCGAUCCCUGACAUACAGAAGGCGGGCGGGUCG